GCUUUAUGAGGAAAUGUGGUGUUUGUUGUUGAUGAUGAUGAUGUUUUGUUUGAAAUUUAAACUCCCAAGUGGUCGUCGUCACCACCAUGUCCGCCUCUCUCACGUCCGGGUCGCGGGGCGAGAGGUCACGGCCGCACUGUACAAGACGCACGCCACGUGACGUCGCUGCGGCAAUAGCCACCGCGAGCCGUUGCUUCUGCUGGCUUUCAGUUUGUUUUUAAAUCUGAAUUAAGAAGAGGCGACGAUGCCGGGCAAGCGAGGACAGCCCCCGAAGCGUUCUGCUGUGUCAGUGAACAACGGCCAAGAGUUAUCUUCAAUGACCAAGAAGGUGAAAGAAGAGGCGACGAUGUCGGGCAAGCGAGGACAGCCCCUGACGCGUUCUGCUGUGUCCAUGAACAACGGCCAAGAGUCAUCUUCAAUGACCAAGAAGGCGAAAGAAGAAACGACGAUGCCGGGCAAGCGAGGACAGCCUCUGAAGCGUUCUGCUGUGUCCGUGAACAACGGCCAAGAGUCAUCUUCAAUGACCAAGAAGGCGAAAGAAGAGGCGACGAUGCCGGGCAAGCGAGGACAGCCCCCGACGCGUUCUGCUGUGUCCGUGAACAACGGCCAAGAGUCAUCUUUAAUGACCAAGAAGGCGAAAGAAGAGGCGACGAUGCCGGGCAAGCGAGGACAGCCCCCGAAGCAUUCUGCUGUGUCCGUGAACAACGGCCAAGAGUCAUCUUUAAUGACCAAGAAGGCGAAAGAAGAAACGACGAUGCUGGGCAAGCGAGGACAGCCUCCGAAGCGUUCUGCUGUGUCCGUGAACAACGGCCAAGAGUCAUCUUCAAUGACCAAGAAGGCGAAAGAAGAGGCGACGAUGCCGGGCAAGCGAGGACAGCCCCCGACGCGUUCUGCUGUGUCCGUGAACAACGGCCAAGAGUCAUCUUCAAUGACCAAGAAGGCGAAAGUCACUCACCCGUCACACCGGGGUAAACCCGGCGCAGUGCUGGCAAUUGGACAGGGCGACGUGGGUCAGCUGGGAUUAGGCCCGAACGUCAUGGAGCGCAAGAGACCAGCCCUGGUACAUAUGCCCGAGCCUGUGCUUCAGGCCGUGGCCGGGGGUAUGCAUUCUGUGUGCCUGGGAAAAAGCGGCAAGGUGUACACGUUUGGCUGCAAUGACGAGGGAGCGCUGGGCCGAAUCACGGUGGAGGAUGUAGAAGAGGCCAUGCCUGGCACGGUGAUGCUGCCGGAGCUCGCGGUGCAGGUGUCGGCUGGGGAUAGCCACACGGCCGUCCUCACCGAGUUUGGAUCCGUCUACUUGUGGGGGACCUUCCGAGACAACAACGGCAUUAUUGGACUGCUGGAGCCCAUGAUGAAAUGUCCCCUACCCACCAAGCUCACCCUUGACACCCGCAUAGUGAAGGUGGCCUCCGGGAACGAUCACCUGGUGCUGCUGAGCGAGAGCAGACAGAUUUACACCCUGGGCUGCGGGGAGCAAGGCCAGCUGGGAAGGGUCGCAGAAAUGUUCGCCAACCGUGGUGGCAGGAGAGGACUCCUGCGUCUGCUGGUGCCAGAGCAGGUGCGCGUCAAAGCCAGGAGGGGGCACAGCCACGUCGAGUUCCUGGACGUGUUUUGUGGCUCAUACUUCACCUUCGCGCUCAGCACAGAUGGCAGCCUCUAUGGCUUCGGCCUCUCAAACUACCACCAGCUGGGAACAGCCAAGCCAGAUUCUGCAUUUGUGCCCAAUCUCCUCACUUCCUUUGAGAACUCCGAGACGUGGUUGGAGCUUUGCGGUGGCCAGCACCAUUCUCUGUGCCUCGACUCUGGAGGCAAGGUGUACAGCCUGGGCCGCGCUGACUACGGGCGCCUGGGACUGGGCAAGGGGGCGUGCGACGUGGCGCUGCCCACGCUGGUGCCCACUCCCUCGCACAUCAACUCCAUAGCUUGUGGCGCCAGCGUCAGUUACGCCGUCACCAAAGACGGACGCGCGUUUUCCUGGGGCAUGGGCACCAACUGCCAGCUGGGCACGGGCGAGGAUAAGGACGAGUGGAGCCCCGUGCAGGUCACCGGCAAGCAGCUGGAGAACCGGCACGUGCUGACCGCCUCCAGCGGGGGGCAGCAUACCCUGCUGCUCGUUACCGACAACUGAUGCCGAUCGGCGCUUGCGCGUUCCAUUUGAGACGGUCGCGCUGUGCAAGUCUGCUCGAAGGCUAUUGUCUGGGGGUGGAAAAUUCCCCAUAGAAGUUGUGUGUGUGUGUUGUGUGUGUGAGUUGUAUGUGUGUGUGUAGGGAGCAGCGGCGUAGUGUUUAGCACACUGCACUACUAACCUGACAACCCGAGUUCAAUUCGCUGCUGAUGUCUAACAUAACUUAAGGAUAUCUGAAACCUCCUGCACCUCCCCAAGGUCGACUUGGUCAUUAGUGAAUACCUCCUGCGGUGUGUGAACAUCAGCAAUGGGGAGACAGGUGGCCGAGCGUGGUUGCUAGCCACACCAAGCCCUUGUGUGCCCUGCUGGUCUCUGUUCACUAACAGCACUUAUGCCAACAGUGGCUUUGUCUGUAGGGAUAGGUCUUUAUCUUUACCAAUGUUUGAAAACGAUGGGUAUUUGCUAUAUGCCGUCGUUUCCUCUGUGAUUUGCAAGGAGAACAUUGUUUCAAUCGUUUGUGCUGUUUCCACGAGCAGAGAAAACUGUAACCUAUAAAUGAUAUGCAAUAUCUUGUGGCAACCUAUGUAAUAAUUUGAUGCAAUUUAGAAUAAUCUUACGAAUGUUGUCCCAUCUGGAAAAUUAUCGAGUGGGCAUUUUUACGCACACAUUUGGAGCACAGCAUGAGAAAAAAACCCCACGGUAAUCGGUGCAUAAAUGCGAAAUUGAAAGAGACUGGCACAAUUGAUUUACGAGGUGACUGCAGGAUUCUUGUCUGUCAAAUAAGCUGCGCCAUCAUAGAUUUCAUAGCAGUCCUCCAAGUGAGAGAUGUGCACCGCAAGCCGCCUUUUAGAGUGCACGGUGAGCGAUUGUAUGUGAUGACGGUGUGUGUCGGAUCGCUGUGAAUAUUUUACAGUGAAAGGAUAAUGUUUCUCCCUUUUUUUUAUUCCAAGGAGUGAAAAAAAUGGGAGGCAAAACUUAAACCGACUUAUACACGAAAGCUUCAAAUCAAGAUCGACUUAUAAUCCUCCUGAAAAACAAUGGGUCGGGUAAAGUUUGAGCAAAGUGAUGGUUUUGACACUUAUCCUCGAUAAGCGUUAAAUUAUCGCUUUAAGUAGGGCUUGAACAGUACAAUAUGGUAAUGCGUCAUUUUAAUUGGACAUAGUUGGGGUUGUUUUGAGUGCCAAGUGUGCAAUGUGAUUUUUUUCUCAAUCGCCACUUUGGGCAAUCGCAUUGGAGCGCACACGUGGCCCUUCUGUAUGGACAUGAAAUUAAUUACGUGUGGGAGUGAUGGGCUCCAGCAUGAGGAAUCAAGUUUGCUCUCUGAGCUACUCUCGGAUCUGUCAUGUUCAAUUUUAAAUUGGACGCGUCUGUCAUUGCGUGGCAAUGCGGUGUCACUGAAUCCAUUUUUUGAAAUGUUACAGGCAAGCUGCGAGGAGUGUAUUGUAGAAUCUAAUGGAAAAUGGUGGUAAUUGCAGUAUUUUAUGCAGGACCAUUUACAAAAUGAUGUUGUAUCGCAUGUCAGUCUGGUAAAAUGCUUACGGACUUGGUAAUGAGUGGUACUUUAUAGUAUUUACUUUUUAAAAUCUCAUGAUAAUUUUGCACUCCAUGAUGACCAUAAAGGAGAAAAGAAGUUCGUACACAUGGAACAGAUGACACAAGUGUCAACCUUAAAUAAGGGAUGCCUAUUCGCCUUGAAUAACAGAUUUUUUCUUGCUUCAACUGCUUUGGUCAUAUGUGAACAUGCACUAAAUGAUGUUGAUCAAGCACAGCCCUUAAAUCAGAAGCGCCAUAGCUCCAGGAGAACUCCAUGCCACAAGGUGUUUUUUUUUUGUUAUUGCAAAUGCCAACACUUGCCCUGGGCUUCAUUGGCAGUGUUCACGGAUCACAACGGUUAAUUCUAAUUUAGAGCAUCGCUACACUCUUGACAAGUAAUUCGUAAUGCUGCCCCCUGUAAAAUAUGUAGUUUUAAGGAUGCGUGGGUGAAGCGUUGGCACAGCGGUGAGUUUACUGCCCUGUGAACCCGGCUUUCCUGAGUUGGAUUCCCGACCACAGCUAACAUCAGGGGUGUGCAAUAUCCGAUUCGGCCCUUGACCCCCACUUCACUAUCCCCAGAUGUUGAUUGACAAAAGACCGUAAAAGAGACAUAUAUAACAGUCUGCCCCUUGAGAACUCUGUUGUUGUUUUUUGAGUGUCAUGAUUCAAUUUACAAUCAAUUCGUAUGUCCAUUGCGGUGCAUGUAUAAUCCAUCGUGGUGUGAAUCUGUAGUGGUAGAGAAAUCUGAACAUGGAUGGAUCAAAACUUCUCGUGCACAAUUCAACGCUACCACGGGCACCUUGCUAUCGUACAUAGUUGUGAUCUGGAGAUAAAGUGCUUGAAGAAAAUUAUUGUUCGAAUUUUCCACCCUGGCUGGUACCUACAAGCAAUUUUUGGGCCUAUGGCUCAAGGACGAAUCCAGGUUUUAUCUAUUAAUGGAUUUAUACAGAGGAGGAUCAAUAUCAACCCAAGUAAAACUGGGAUUUGUAGUUUUUGUUUUUCUUGUUGUAAGCUUCAGUCACUGUAGAUUAUGCAUAUUCAGGGAUUUCUUUAUAAGAUAAUGCGAGAUAUUUUGAUACAUUUGCAGCUCUAUUUAUUCAGCAGCACGUACGAAUUGUAUUUUGGUAACUUUAAAGUUGAGCUGCGAGGACGCGCUGUUUAAUGUGACUGUGAUAUGCAUUGUGUUAAGUUAAGGCUGCACUGCACACAGUGACAUUUGUUUGAAACGUGUCUACGGUUUGGAAUUGUUAACGAGAUACAUUAAAGGAUUAUUUCCA